GUGGGAGAUCAUCAACUUGUCCUUGGUGACAAAGAAAUAUGAGUCUUUCCUAAGUUACUCAACUUUCAAGUGGCCAAACAGAGCUGAACAGCUCACAGGAAGUCAUCAUCGACCUCAGAAAAGUGAGAACCCCAGAAAAAUUGAAACUUGCUUUGCUCAAUUUGAUGCCAAAUUUCCUUUUAAACUAAAUGAGUAAUAGCCAUGAUUUUCAAUACCCUUUUCUCCCCUUCAUCUCAUGUCCACACGAAAAAGUCAGCCCCAGUUUAGUCUCACUGUACCUUUUAAAACCACUACUGGGUAAACCAGAACUCUGCUCUUGUUCUCUCUCUGCCCUCAGAAAGAAACACACAAACACAAGCUGUGUCAGAUGAUGAAGGUUCCAACUUUUUUCUCCAUUUCAAUCAGAAUUGACAAAGUCAAAGCAAGAGGACCCAUCAGGCCAUCACUAAUUUUCAUGGGUUAUGACUUUCUCUCUUUUUCAUUUGGUUUACUUUGAUGUUCUUGUGAAAUUUGUGCAGAAAGGUUCAUGUUCAUGUGGUGGAUGAGGCAGGUGAGCUUUCUGGGUGAUUGAAUAGGGCGUUGACAGAAGAUAGAGAGCACAAGUGAGCAUGCACAGGAAGGGCUUGUGCAUGGCCAGUCUUGUGCUCCCCCUCUUCUGUCAACAUGGCUUUAACUAGUUCUGCUUCUAUAAGUUCAUUCCCAUGCCUCGGUCGAACCCGGGUACUCGUCUUUGAUGUAUGUACAGGUCUCCGCACGCUGAGUUUAGUUCUCUGUCCUAUCGCUUCUCAUUGACUUUGACUAUUACGUUAGAGUUCGAGAAUAAUUCCGUCUUCCAUGUGCAUUACAAGCUUUGAAGUGGUGAAUUGGAUGAGUUCAUCAAAGGGCCGCUCCCCUUUUUCGAAACGGUGAUUCGGAUAGAGAGUCGUUUGCAUCUCAUUGUAUCUGUGCUUUGUAUAGCCCAAAAAAAGAGAGAAUCGUCAUUUCGACUUGAUCUGUUUGGCGUCGGACCAUAAACCGAAGCCCAUUCGAUUCAAUCCGGAGAUGUUGAGACUGCUGAUUCAUAUAGGCUCGAAUUCGACUCUCACUUGCUUAGUUGUUGUAAUGUUCACAUGAACUCUGCUUCCGAAGGUUGAUCUCUGCUUGCUGUGACUUCGGUGUAGACAAACUCCACUUCACUAACCACCCAAAGAUUGAAAAAUCA